ACUUGGACCUCAGAGCCAUCUAGAAAAAUGUAGAGUAAUGGUCAGUACAUUGGUGCUGUUAAAGAAUCCUUCAGGGAUCCUUGGUUGAUGUGGACAUUGGGUAGAGGGUAUAGAGAAGGUGAGUUAAAAAGCAUAGGCUGAGAUGCUGCUGGGCCAUCCUCCUUGGUAAAUAAGGAAGGAAAGGAAAAGAUCAGGAAAGAAAUGACAGAACCUUGUUUUUCUAGCUAAGGCAGCUUAGUCAAUGUGAAAUAGUCAAUGUACACAUAGGUUAAUACAAAAAUUCAUUGUUUGAUUCCAUGAUAGUGUCUCUUGACUCCCCUGGUCAUUUUGAAGCCCUGGAAAAUGAACUUUUUCAAUAAUAUACAAUCUCUAACUUUCCUACAAAAAAAAGAGUGAGCAUUUUGGCUUAUGUAUAAGUUAGAAAUAAUUGUUAAUUUUUAAUAUGUACUUCAUGGUAAAAUGUCUCAGACAUAUGCAAGCAAUUAAAUACCAAACUUACGGCCUGGCACAGUGGCUCACACCUGUAAUCCCAGCACUUUGGGAGGCCAAGGUGGGCGGAUCAUGAGGUCAGGAGAUCGAGACCGUCCUGGCUAUCAUGAGGUCAGGAAAUUGAGACCAUCCUGGCUAACACAGUGAAACCCUGUCUCUACUAAAAAUACAAAAAAUUAGCCGGGCAUAGUGGUGGGCAUCUGUAGUCCCAGCUGCUUGAGAGGAUGAGGCAGGAGAAUGGCGUGAACCCGGGAGGCAGAGCUUGCAGUGAGCUGAGAUCGGGCCACUGCACUCCAGCAUGGGUGACAGAGCGAGACUCUGUCUCAAAAAAAAAAAAAAAAAAACCCAAAAAAGCAAACUUAGACCAGUGGUGUUAACUAGUUUCUAAAAUUUGAUUUUUAUUUGUAACAAGUCAUUUACUUAAGGCCCAAUGAACAUAAAUGGAAUCACAUUGGUUUAUGUUUAAGGAAUACACUGAGAUUGCUGCUAUUCUAUUUAUUUCACAUAAAGAAUAGCCAGAUUUUACUUUGGAACCUCCUGGAAGCUCUUCAGUGGUCUUUGAGCUAAUACAAUUUAUCUUUCAUCACUAAAAGACCAUUGUUCUUAUGUCAUAAUGAGAAUAAUCAUUUAAGUACCUGGCAUAAUUGAGACUGCACCACUGCACUCCAGCCUAGGGGACACAGCAAGACCCUGUCUCAAAAAAAAGGAAAAAAAAGAAGAUGACCAUCUUUUACUGCCCAACGACAUCUUUCUACCAAUGUGAACAGAGACUAGCAGCACAGUGAUCACCUGCAGAUAGACCUGGCUUUAUCUGUACAUAACACCAAAAGAAAGAACCUGGAUUCCACAAGGAAAUAAAGAUUUUCAGUCCCUGCAAGAAUUCUCAAUGUUCUUCACAUAAUUUGGAGAAGAGAGAGACACAGGGGGAAGAUGGCCAUGUGAAGAUGGAGGCAGAGACUGGAGUGAUACAUCCACAAGCUAUGGAAUGCCAAGGUUUGCCAGCCAUUUAUAAGAAGCUAGGAGACAGGCGUGGAACACAUUCUCCCUCUGAACCCUCAGAAGGAACCAACACUGCCGACAUUUUGAUUCCAGACUUCUGACCUCCAGAACAAGCAGGUAUGCUCAGGAGACAUUCUCACUACCAGAGAAAAGAGAAUGGGAUUUGGAAUCUGUAACAUGAUCAGCCACUUGCAUACCUGGAACCCAGACUAGCCCCAGCACUCCAGGCAAUCACCACCAAACAAUCAGAGUUGGCACAGGAUACAAGAUUUCUGUCCUUCUAUGACAUGGAUUUCUUCAGCAUCCAGGUGUGCAGGGUUUCUGAGCCAGGAGCAGUUGAGGAGUGGGAAGAACAUCUGGAAAGACUGGGAGUAAGGACGCCCCAUCUGAUGGAAGAAAGGAAACACAUGCCCACCCAUUUUUGCACCUGGGUCUUUCAUUUGCCUUUACACUGGACUCUUGCAAGCCCUAAGCAGGACAUUGCAUCAAGCUAAUGGGCUUGUGUUGAGGUCUCUUUCAACUCACCCCAAGCCUUGGGAGAGUCAUAUUUCUGACAACUAAAUUCAUGAAGCCUU